rnacentral:rRNA from 1 species
GACGAACGCUGGCGGCGUGCCUAAUACAUGCAAGUUGAGCGCUGAAGGUUGGUACUUGUACCAACUGGAUGAGCAGCGAACGGGUGAGUAACGCGUGGGGAAUCUGCCUUUGAGCGGGGGACAACAUUUGGAAACGAAUGCUAAUACCGCAUAAAAACUUUAAACACAAGUUUUAAGUUUGAAAGAUGCAAUUGCAUCACUCAAAGAUGAUCCCGCGUUGUAUUAGCUAGUUGGUGAGGUAAAGGCUCACCAAGGCGAUGAUACAUAGCCGACCUGAGAGGGUGAUCGGCCACAUUGGGACUGAGACACGGCCCAAACUCCUACGGGAGGCAGCAGUAGGGAAUCUUCGGCAAUGGACGAAAGUCUGACCGAGCAACGCCGCGUGAGUGAAGAAGGGCUUCGGAUCGUAAAACUCUGUUGGUAGAGAAGAACGUUGGUGAGAGUGGAAAGCUCAUCAAGUGACGGUAACUACCCAGAAAGGGACGGCUAACUACGUG